rnacentral:rRNA from 1 species
UACGUAGGGUGCGAGCGUUGUCCGGAAUUAUUGGGCGUAAAGAGCUUGUAGGCGGUCUGUCGCGUCUGCUGUGAAAAUCCGGGGCUCAACCCCGGACUUGCAGUGGGUACGGGCAGACUAGAGUGUGGUAGGGGAGACUGGAAUUCCUGGUGUAGCGGUGAAAUGCGCAGAUAUCAGGAGGAACACCGGUGGCGAAGGCGGGUCUCUGGGCCGAUACUGACGCUGAGGAGCGAAAGCUAGGGGAGCAAACGGG